GGAGACGCGGCGUGGCUGCCCUGGUGUGAGGGCCUCUCAGACUUCAGGUUUCUGGCCGUUCCCCCCGGUUUCUGAAGAGCGUCGAGGAAGAUGGAGAGCCAGUGCGGGGCGCAAACAUCAAAUCAGACGCAAACAGAUUCGUUAUCUCCAUCCCCUAAUCCUGUAUCACCUGUGCCUUUGAAUAACCCAACAAGUGCCCCAAGAUAUGGAACAGUGAUCCCUAAUCGCAUCUUUGUAGGAGGAAUUGACUUUAAGACAAAUGAAAAUGAUCUAAGAAAAUUUUUUUCCCAAUAUGGGUCUGUAAAAGAAGUGAAAAUUGUAAAUGACAGAGCUGGAGUGUCCAAAGGGUAUGGUUUCGUCACUUUUGAAACACAAGAAGAUGCACAAAAAAUUUUACAAGAGGCUGAAAAACUUAAUUAUAAAGAUAAGAAACUGAACAUUGGUCCGGCAAUAAGAAAACAACAAGUAGGGAUUCCUCGUUCCAGUAUAAUGCCAGCAGCUGGAACAAUGUAUCUAACAACUUCAACUGGAUAUCCUUACACUUAUCAUAAUGGUGUUGCUUAUUUUCAUACUCCAGAGGUAACUUCUGUACCACCACCUUGGCCCUCACGUUCUGUAUCUAGUUCCCCAGUGAUGGUAGCUCAGCCUGUUUAUCAGCAACCUGCGUAUCACUACCAGGCCCCUGCACAAUGUCUACCAGGACAGUGGCAGUGGGGUGUUCCUCAGUCUCCUGCCUCUUCUGCUCCGUUCUUAUACCUGCAACCUUCUGAGGUUAUUUAUCAACCAAUGGAAAUUGCACAAGAUGGUGGAUGUGUUCCUCCUCCACUAUCUCUGAUGGAAGCUUCAGUUGCAGAGCCUUAUUCUGAUCAUGGAGUUCAAGCAACAUAUCACCAGGUUUAUGCUCCCAGUGCCAUUGCUAUGCCUGCACCUGUGAUGCAGCCUGAACCAAUUAAAACAGUGUGGAGCAUUCAUUAUUAAGACAAUUGGGCAGCUCUAGUCCAGCUCAACUGAUUUCUUGUCUAAUGAUCCUUGUGUGGCCGAGAUCCAGCUUCAACGAACCGGCUAGAAGCUGCCCAUUGUGAAACUUAGGGAACCAAGGUUACAUUCUGUGAGAAGAAGCUUUUCUCAGCCUUCAUCUGUAGGUUUGAAACCUCGAUAUUCUCGAAGCCCACACUUUCAUCCUAGAAAAGAUUUCAGAGCAGAGGAUUCAAUUCUUACUCCAUCUUCCUCUACUGAUUCUGUUAAGUAGAGUCUUGGAUAACUAUUUUAUCCAAUAAUAGAAAACAACUAGCCCCGUGUACGGUCUGCUAACAAAUAUGAGGGUGUUGGAUAUGCUUAAGGUUAAAUGUUUUUGCUUUUUAAGGGAAUUAAAGAAAUCUUGAUAGCCAGAACAUUGGAGGUACAGGAUAAAAUCAUGGUUUCCUUUAUGAAUCCACACACACUUAAGUAACAUAGGUUUUUAAUCUGUAACAAUCAACAAGAUUAUGUCUAUAAAACAACAAGUAUCUUGAUAAAUUUGAAAAAUUUGGUCAUCAUCUGGCUAUCUUAUCAACAUGAUAAUGUCAUAUACAACCACUUAAAACAUCUUUGGUGUUUGGAUUUUUCAGUUUUAUUCCAGACGUUUCAUAUUUCUAGACAUAGCCAUGGUAUAUACAGAAUAUACCUAGCAACAGGCCAUUUGUUGUAAUAUGGUAAAUUUAAAAAAAAAAACUUGUUAGGGAGAUGUGUAUAAGAUUCUAGCUUCCACAUUAUUUUGGUUUCACUAUGGUUAGGUUUAUGUAUAUUUUACCUAUAUUAAAUGUUUUUGAUAAAACAUUUCAAAUUCUUGGUUUACAUUAGAAAUUUUGACAGACAUUAAUACAUAUAAAAAUCAUUUGUGUGUGUAAUAUCUGGA